AGGGCGGGCGGCGGGGCCGGGGCCGCUCUUACCUCCGACCCGGUACAUGUUGGCGGCCAUGCCCGCGACCGGGCCGGGUGCGGGGCGCGGGCCGCUCCCGCCGCCGCCGCCUCCAGGAACUGGAUGAUGCCAAAAAACACCCCAAGGAACCACCACUCUGUGGUACAUAGCACCUUUACAGCGGGUUCCCCCAGCAAGAGCUGACAAAGUGCAGCAGUGAAGGUGACAGACCAUGCCCCCGAGGACUUCUCCAUGCAUGUGGCCAAGGCUGGAUGGUGAAGCUCAGUGAAAAGCUACCCCUCUGACGGUCAGCAGAAGCAGACCUGGAGCACUGCUGGCCCCUCAGGCAAGGCAGGAUGACUACACUUGGCUCCAGCACAGAGCUGGAGAGUCACCUGAUGUUGCCCAAACUGGGUGACACCCCAGGACUUCUCCACACAGUCACACAGGUCAGGAUGGCCAAAAAAUAUCCGUCAUGAAACUCUUUGCUGGAGUAAGUGAUUAACAGUGCAGUCAUACCCUUUACUGGGUAUGGCCUGGGCAGAGCUGCUACCUGCACUCUAAACACACUUCUCACAAAGAACUGAAACACCUACAUAAGACCGCCCAAAACACUGACAUCUGCCAAAAUACAUAUAUUUUUCAGAAAGAA